GACGAACGCUGGCGGCGUGCCUAAUACAUGCAAGUUGAGCGAUGAAGAUUGGUGCUUGCACCCAUUUGAAGAGCAGCGAACGGGUGAGUAACGCGUGGGGAAUCUGCCUUUGAGCGGGGGACAACAUUUGGAAACGAAUGCUAAUACCGCAUAAUAACUUUAAACAUAAGUUUUAAGUUUGAAAGAUGCAAUUGCAUCACUCAAAGAUGAUCCCGCGUUGUAUUAGCUAGUUGGUGAGGUAAAGGCUCACCAAGGCGAUGGUACAUAGCCGACCUGAGAGGGUGAUCCGCCAAAAUGGGAACUGGAAAACGCCCAAACUCCCACGGGAAGGAGGAGGAGGGAAACUUCGGACAAUGACGAAAGGCUGACCGAGCAACGCCGGGGUGGGGAAGAAGGUUUUCGGAUCGUAAAACUCUGUUGGUAGAGAAGAACGUUGGUGAGAGUGGAAAGCUCAUCAAGUGACGGUAACUACACAGAAAGGGACGGCUAACUACGUG
rnacentral:rRNA from 1 species